AUGUGUCUUUGCAAGGUGCAACGGAGCCGUCAGACAAAAGGAAGAUGGGGGCACAUGAGAUGUCCUGACCACUGCUUAGUCCCAAGAAUGGGAGUAACAAUGCUUCUAAAGUUCUGCUGCUAUAUUGUACUCGGAAAUGUAUUCAUCAAACUACCUUGUCAACCAUUUGCUAUUUACUCUCAAACUUCUGACAUAUUUCUUCGCAGUUGCCUUCUGCCCUCCCCUCCACCCUUUCCGGAUAGCUAUAUCCCACCAUCAGCAUUAGAACAAGAGAAAGAGGCAGAUGAUCUAUUGCCACAGAGGCAUUGCUUCCUGCAGUUGACCAUAUUAUUGAUCAAUGGCUAG
rnacentral:rRNA from 1 species